GAAAGGCCGGGUAAUACCAGAUGAUAUACCUUUAUCGCAUGAUAGAGGUCUCAAAGGUCCGCCGGUCUGGGAGCAGGCGAUUUCGUAUCAGCUAGUUGGUGAGGUAACGGCUCACCAAGGCGACGACGCGUAGCCGGACUGAGAGGUUGGCCGGCCACAUUGGGACUGAGACACUGCCCAGACUCCUACGGGGGGCUGCAGUAACGAAUCUUCCGCAAUGCACGAAAGUGUGACGGAGCGACGCCGCGUGUGGGACGAAGCCCUUCGGGGUGUAAACCACUGUCAGAGGAAAGAAAGUUCUGAUCUACCUCAGAGGAAGAGGCGGCUAACUCUGUGCCAGCAGCCGCGGUAAUACAGAGGCCUCGAGCGUUAGGCGGAAUCACUGGGCUUAAAGCGUGUGUAGGCGGACUUCUAAGUACCUUGUGAAAUCCCACGGCUUACCCGUGGAACUGCUGGGUAUACUGGUUGUCUUGAGCCAUCUAGGGGCUACCGGAACAAAUGGUGGAGCGGUGAAAUGCGUAGAUAUCAUUUGGAACGCCAAUGGUGAAAACAGGUAGCUGGGGAUGUGCUGACGCUGAGACACGAAAGCCAGGGGAGCGAACGGGAUUAGAUACCCCGGUAGUCCUGGCCGUAAACGAUGUCGACUAGAUCGCGGUACCUCUGACGGUUUCACGGUCGAAGCAAAAGUGCUAAGUCGACCGCCUGGGAAGUACGGUCGCAAGGCUAAAACUCAAAGGAAUUGACGG
rnacentral:rRNA from 1 species